UCUUAUGGAUGAGCAAAAGAAGGGGUUUCUUGAGAUGGAAUCUACUCUUAGUGAGGGUGCUGUGAA
rnacentral:pre_miRNA from 1 species